UACGUAGGGGGCGAGCGUUGUCCGGAAUGAUUGGGCGUAAAGGGUACGUAGGCGGUUAAUUAAGUCGAGUGUAAAAGGCUGGGGCUCAACUCCAGAAAGCAUUUGAAACUGGUUAUCUUGAGAAGUGGAGAGGAAAGUGGAAUUCCUAGUGUAGCGGUGACAUGCGUAGAGAUUAGGAGGAAUACCGGUAGCGAAGGCGACUUUCUGGACAAAGACUGACGCUCAGGUGCGAAAGCGUGGGGAGCAAACAGG
rnacentral:rRNA from 1 species